rnacentral:misc_RNA from 1 species
GAUGAAGAACGUAGCGAAAUGCGAUAAGUAAUGUGAAUUGCAGAAUUCAGUGAAUCAUCGAAUCUUUGAACGCACAUUGCGCCCGCCAGUAUUCUGGCGGGCAUGCCUGUCUGAGCGUCAUUUCAACCCUCAAGCUAUGCUUGGUGUUGGGUGUUUGUCCUCUCCUUUUGCGAUUGGACUCGCCUUAAAGACAUUGGCAGCCAGUGUAUUGGUCUUGAAGCGCAGCACAUUUUGCGAUUCUUGCUGAUAAUCACUAGCGUCCAGUAAGCCUAUUUUAACACUUUUGACCUCGGAUCAGGUAGGGAUACCCGCUGAACUUAAGCAUAUCAAUAAGCGGAGGA